rnacentral:RNase_P_RNA from 1 species
GAUCGGCCGGGGAUGACCGCGCGUCGGGUCGCAAGGCCGCAGACGUGAGGAAAGUCCGGACACCACAGGGCAGCAUGCCGCGCGCAAGCGUUGGAGGUUGCGGGCGAAAGCCACAACAAUGGAAAGUGUCACAGAAAACAAACCGCCUCGCGCAAGCGAGGUAAGGGUGAAAAGGCGAGGUAAAAGCUCACCGCUCUAACAGUAAUGAAGGAGGCACGACAAACCCCAUGCGGUGCAAGACAGAACAGGACCAAGAGCGGCCCGCUCGCAACCUGCCGAAAGGCAGGGGAUACGUCCGGGUAAUAGUCGCGCAGAUAAAUGGUCAUCACCGGCGCUGAAAGGCGACGGCACAGAAUCCGGCUUACACCGGCCGAUCCACU